rnacentral:rRNA from 1 species
UUAACACAUGCAAGUCGAGCGCCCCGCAAGGGGAGCGGCGGACGGGUGAGUAACACGUGGGAAUAUGCCCUUCGGUACGGAACAACUCAGGGAAACUUGAGCUAAUACCGCAUACGCCGGCGACGGGAAAGAUUUAUCGCCGAGGGAUUAGCCCGCGUCCGAUUAGCUAGUUGGUGAGGUAAUGGCUCACCAAGGCUCCGAUCGGUAGCUGGUUUGAGAGAACGACCAGCCACACUGGGACUGAGACACGGCCCAGACUCCUACGGGAGGCAGCAGUGGGGAAUCUUGGACAAUGGGGGAAACCCUGAUCCAGCCAUGCCGCGUGAGUGAUGAAGGCCUUCGGGUUGUAAAACUCUUUCGACGGGGACGAUAAUGACGGUACCCGUAGAAGAAGCUCCGGCUAACUUCGUGCCAGCAGCCGCGGUAAUACGAAGGGGGCUAGCGUUGUUCGGAAUUACUGGGCGUAAAGCGCGCGCAGGCCGCUCUUCAAGUCAGGGGUGAAAGCCCAGAGCUCAACUCUGGAACU